GGGGUCAUAGCUCAGUUGGUAGAGUGUUUGAAUGGCAUUCAAAAGGUCGGGGGUUCGAUCCCCCCUGGCUCCACCA
rnacentral:tRNA from 1 species